UCUCUCUCUCUCUCCCCACACAAAGACUGCAGUUGGGCGAGAAUGGCGAGGGAGAGAGGGAAGCUGGUGUAUAUGGUGUACAGAGCUUUGAGCUACGGUCUGCGCAGGGUUCGAGGCCUGGAACACCCUCUCUGUUGGCCCGAGUGCCUCAGCCGUCCUUCUCUCCCUCGCCCCGCCGGCCCUUUCAUCUAGUUCCAUGCCGUCUCCCUAGGAGGCGAAGAGUUCUUGGUUGUUUCUAGGGUUUCAGCUGCCGGGGGCCUUUCCUCCUCUCUCUUUCUCUCCCCUUCCUCCCUAUUUCCCUCUGUUUUCUACCAUUUUUACCCUCGUCUGCCUGCUUUUUUUUUCGUUUCUUUUUCUUAUUAAAAAAUGAUCCGCUUAUGUACAGGCUAUUGAAGAUGGUGGUGAUGGAGAUUGGUGUUGGGCGUCCUGGUUCUCGACGGUCGUCUUCCCCUGGUUGUUUAUGGGGGUGAUUUGCUGGUUUAUCAGCACCCUUUUGGGGGUUUCGGCCGGCGACGAGAGCGGCGAAUGGUGAAGGAAUCGUUGCAAUUCCAGUGAUAAAAUGCUGCAUUGAAAGGAGGCCAGAUAUAAAUAUCUUGAUGACGACAAUGACUCUGUCUGCAUUGUCAGUUGAAAUCUGUCACUGUUUUUUGGGAAAGUGGGGGAAGAAUGCAUCGGAAGCGACGAAGAAGGCCGAGGAUCCUGCUAGGGAUAUGUGGUAGCACUGUACUAUGUACGGCGGACUCAUCGAUGCACGAUUUAAGACUCAAGACCACGUUGUCAAGUCAGCGCUGCCUCACUCCACCAUAGAGAAAACCUUCUGCUGCAACCAUUUCUCCACCACCACUACUCAGUUCGGAAUUUGAUUGUGUAGGAUGAGAUCUCAUUUUGGGGGCUGAUAAAACAGAAAUACUCUUUGGUCUUCCUGAUUUUGGCAAAAAAAUGGAAAAUGGUAUCUAUGGAAAAUGGGGGUGGUGUUGGUUAGAGAAUGGUGGUACAGUGGUUGCGGUAUGCAGAUGAUGGCAGAGCUGUGGCAGUGAUGGUUGCAGCUUUCGGCAGGGUGAUUCGAUGGAAGAUUUUUGGAAUGGUCUUAAACCAGCUAGAGCUUCUGUCAUGAAAUGCUCAAGUUCCCACCAUUUCUUCUAGCUGCUACAGUAGUCUAUGUGGGCACAAGAAAUGGAGUAAAACGAGUGACGGGGAUGCUAACUACUACGAAGAUCUACUCAUGUAACCAUUGGUUUUGGCGUCGAGGGCAGUUUGGUCCAUUCACCUCAUGCGAAGAACGUGGCCCAGAUGAAGCCACAUCUCCCCCCUUUCCUUUUCCUUUCCUUCAUCUAGUUUGGAGCAGAUAGGAGAGACAGAGAGAAAAGAGAUACUCUUCCACACCGAGAAAAGAACGGAAGAACAAGAAGCCUAGGCCAGCAACGGUGAGGCGAUAUUGGGGGAUUCUUUGCCGUAGACUUCGUGAUUUGCGACGGUGAGACAGGAGGAGAGGAAGGAGUUCGUGGGUUUCGGAAGGAGCAAGGCGAUCAAGUUCUGCAGUAGUGGUGCCGACUCAAAGUAGUGCCGCGAGCUCUUAAUGCCCUCAACCUUGACAAAUUUCUAAAAUCCAUAGGAAAAGAUCCGGCCUAUGUUGACCUGGAGGCCAACCCUUCAAUUGGCAAGAUCAACCUCCUGAUCUAGCAUAUCUUGUUCCAUCAAAGAAGGUCCUAUAGAAAAAGCAGGUCCUUAAAAAGGUCCUGAAAGUAGCCAUAUUGCCGUGAAUAAUAUGCCCACAUCGGUUGCAGUAGAUCAAACUGGAUCCAUCCCUGCCACUGCAUUUGCAGAGAAGGCAGAACAACUUUACGACAUCACUGUGGCAGAAAUGCUCAACAAUACAACCAAUUGCUCGGGAAUUAUGACAUCAGAGUUGUUGUGAUUGAUGGAAUAGAGAACUGGGAGAAAAAUUAUGAAUGGAAGAUAUUGAACAAGAAGCUAAGAAGCUUUGGCAACUCUUGUUGUGAACAAGCUUAGAGGGGCAUGAAAAUUGCAGCACUAAAAGCUUUGCGAUUUGGAAAAAGAAAGAGCCAGUACCUUGAUGACAUUGUAAUUCUGAUUGGAGCAACUAUAAUUAGAGAUGAGUUAGAGCUUACCUUGGACAAGGGAGAUAAAAAAGUCAUGGGUCAUGGUGCUAAGGUUGUGUUUACCAAGGAUUCAAUGACAAUUGUUGGUGAUGGGAGCACCCAGGAUGCCAAUAAAUCAACAUGUUGCACAGAUUAAAAACCUUAUA